GUUAGUAUAGCAAAACCCGGAAUUUGCAAAAGACCUAAGCUCUUUCGAUAGAGGCUCAAAUCCUCUUACUAACU
rnacentral:tRNA from 1 species